UACGUAGGGUGCAAGCGUUGUCCGGAUUUAUUGGGUUUAAAGGGUGCGUAGGCGGGCUAUUAAGUCAGUGGUGAAAUCCAGCAGCUUAACUGUUGAUGUGCCAUUGAUACUGGUAGUCUUGAGUACAGAUGAGGUAGGCGGAAUUGACAGUGUAGCGGUGAAAUGCAUAGAUAUUGUCAAGAACUCCGAUAGCGAAGGCAGCUUACUGGGCUGUAACUGACGCUGAUGCACGAAAGUGUGGGGAUCAAACAGG
rnacentral:rRNA from 1 species